rnacentral:tRNA from 1 species
UAGCUCAGUCAGUAGAUCAUGAGAUUCUUAAUCUCAGGGUCGUGAGUUCGAGCCUCAC